rnacentral:rRNA from 1 species
GAUGAACGCUGGCGGCGUGCCUAAUACAUGCAAGUCGAGCGAACGGACGAGAAGCUUGCUUCUCUGAUGUUAGCGGCGGACGGGUGAGUAACACGUGGAUAACCUACCUAUAAGACUGGGAUAACUUCGGGAAACCGGAGCUAAUACCGGAUAAUAUUUUGAACCGCGUGGUUCAAAAGUAAAAGACGGUCUUGCUGUCACUUAUAGAUGGAUCCGCGCUGCAUUAGCUAGUUGGUAAGGUAACGGCUUACCAAGGCAACGGUGCAUAGCCGACCUGAGAGGGUGAUCGGCCACACUGGAACUGAGACACGGUCCAGACUCCUACGGGAGGCAGCAGUAGGGAAUCUUCCGCAAUGGGCGAAAGCCUGACGGAGCAACGCCGCGUGAGUGAUGAAGGUCUUCGGAUCGUAAAACUCUGUUAUUAGGGAAGAACAUAUGUGUAAGUAACUGUGCACAUCUUGACGGUACCUAAUCAGAAAGCCACGGCUAACUACGUG